rnacentral:rRNA from 1 species
GAUGAACGCUGACAGAAUGCUUAACACAUGCAAGUCUUUGGCGAAGCUGUGCUUGCACAGCCUAGCCAAGGCGGACGGGUGAGUAACGCGUAAGGAACUUGCCCUGCAGUCAGGGAUAACAGACGGAAACGACUGAUAAGACCUGGUAAAGUCAGGCGGACUCAUGUCCAGCCUGAUGAAAAGAGAUGCUGCAGGAGAGCCUUGCGUCCUAUUAGCUUGUUUGUAGGGUAACGGCCCACCAAGGCGAUGAUAGGUAGCCGGCCUGAGAGGGUGGACGGCCACAAGGGGACUGAGAUACGGCCCUUACUCCUACGGGAGGCAGCAGUGGGGAAUAUUGGACAAUGGGGGCAACCCUGAUCCAGCAAUUCGGUGUGCACGAUGAAGGUUUUCGGAUUGUAAAGUGCUUUCAGCAGGGAAGAAAAAAUGACGGUACCUGCAGAAGAAGCGACGGCUAAAUACGUG